rnacentral:RNase_P_RNA from 1 species
GAAACUGACUAGACAGUCGCUGCUUUUUCAUAAAGUUAUUGAGUAAUAUAUGUAUAAGGAAGGAGAGGAAAGUCCGGGCUCCAUAGGGCAUGGGUGCCAGGUAACACCUGGGAAGCGAGAGCUUACGACUAGUGCAACAGAAAAUAAACCGCCAGAGAUCUUUUUUAUUUAAUUUAGAUCAGGUAAGGGUGAAAAGGUGCGGUAAAAGCGCACCGCAUGACUGGUAACAGAUCAUGGCAUGGUAAACUCCACCUGGAGCAAGACCAAACAAGGUUUGAAUGUAUGGCCCGUACUUGACCUGGGUAGGUUGCUUGAGCUAAUAAGCGAUUAUUGGCCUAGAUGAAUGACUGUCCACGACAGAACCCGGCUUAUCGGUCAGUUUCACCU